AAUUCCUUGUCGGGUAAGUUCCGACCUGCACGAAUGGCGUAACGAUCUCCACACUGUCUCGGCCAGAGACUCGGUGAAAUUGCAGUCGCGGUGAAAAUUCCGUGUACCCGCAGAAAGACGGAAAGACCCUGUGCACCUUUACUAUAGCUUGACAUUGGGAUUUGAGCCUGCAUGUGUAGCAUAGGUGGGAGGCUGUGAACUCUGUACGCCAGUAUGGAGGGAGCCAUCGUUGAAAUACCACCCUUGUUUGUUCAGGUCCCUAACUCUUCGCCGUGAUCCGGUAGGAGGACAGUGUCUGGUGGGUAGUUUGACUGGGGCGGUCGCCUCCCAAAAUGUAACGGAGGCAUGCAAAGGUUCCCUCAGGCUGAUUGGAAACCAGCCGUCGAGUGCAAACGCAAAAGGGAGCUUGACUGCAAGAGAGACAUCUCGAGCAGGUACGAAAGUAGGUGUUAGUGAUCCGGUGAUCCCGAAUGGAAGGGUCAUCGCUCAUUGGAUAAAAGGUACGCCGGGGAUAACAGGCUGAUCGCAUCCAAGAGUUCACAUCGACGAUGCGGUUUGGCACCUCGAUGUCGGCUCAUCACAUCCUGGGGCUGAAGCAGGUCCCAAGGGUACGGCUGUUCGCCGUUUAAAGUGGUACGCGAGCUGGGUUUAAAACGUCGUGAGACAGUUUGGUCCCUAUCUUCUGUGGGCGAAGGAGAAUUGAGAGGGCCUGUCCCUAGUACGAGAGGACCGGGAUGGACGCACCCCUGGUGAUCCUGUUGUCGCGCCAGCGGCAUAGCAGGGUAGCUAUGUGCGGAAGGGAUAACCGCUGAAAGCAUCUAAGCGGGAAGCCUGCCUUAAGAUAAGUUCUCCCUGACGCAAGUCCUGAAGGGCCGAGGUAGACGACCUCGUUGAUAGGCUGGAGGUGGAAGCCCUGUGAGGGGUGGAGCUGACCAGUACUAAUAGCCCGUGCGUCUUGUUUCU
rnacentral:rRNA from 1 species